UACCCGAGAGAGAAUACGGAAUACU
rnacentral:piRNA from 1 species